rnacentral:rRNA from 2 species
AGAGUUUGAUCAUGGCUCAGAUUGAACGCUGGCGGCAGGCCUAACACAUGCAAGUCGAACGGUAACAGGAAGCAGCUUGCUGCUUUGCUGACGAGUGGCGGACGGGUGAGUAAUGUCUGGGAAACUGCCUGAUGGAGGGGGAUAACUACUGGAAACGGUGGCUAAUACCGCAUAACGUCGCAAGACCAAAGAGGGGGACCUUCGGGCCUCUUGCCAUCAGAUGUGCCCAGAUGGGAUUAGCUUGUUGGUGAGGUAACGGCUCACCAAGGCGACGAUCCCUAGCUGGUCUGAGAGGAUGACCAGCCACACUGGAACUGAGACACGGUCCAGACUCCUACGGGAGGCAGCAGUGGGGAAUAUUGCACAAUGGGCGCAAGCCUGAUGCAGCCAUGCCGCGUGUAUGAAGAAGGCCUUCGGGUUGUAAAGUACUUUCAGCGGGGAGGAAGGUGUUGUGGUUAAUAACCGCAGCAAUUGACGUUACCCGCAGAAGAAGCACCGGCUAACUCCGUGCCAGCAGCCGCGGUAAUACGGAGGGUGCAAGCGUUAAUCGGAAUUACUGGGCGUAAAGCGCACGCAGGCGGUCUGUCAAGUCGGAUGUGAAAUCCCCGGGCUCAACCUGGGAACUGCAUUCGAAACUGGCAGGCUUGAGUCUUGUAGAGGGGGGUAGAAUUCCAGGUGUAGCGGUGAAAUGCGUAGAGAUCUGGAGGAAUACCGGUGGCGAAGGCGGCCCCCUGGACAAAGACUGACGCUCAGGUGCGAAAGCGUGGGGAGCAAACAGGAUUAGAUACCCUGGUAGUCCACGCCGUAAACGAUGUCUACUUGGAGGUUGUGCCCUUGAGGCGUGGCUUCCGGAGCUAACGCGUUAAGUAGACCGCCUGGGGAGUACGGCCGCAAGGUUAAAACUCAAAUGAAUUGACGGGGGCCCGCACAAGCGGUGGAGCAUGUGGUUUAAUUCGAUGCAACGCGAAGAACCUUACCUGGUCUUGACAUCCACGGAAGUUUUCAGAGAUGGAAUGUGCCUUCGGGAACCGUGAGACAGGUGCUGCAUGGCUGUCGUCAGCUCGUGUUGUGAAAUGUUGGGUUAAGUCCCGCAACGAGCGCAACCCUUAUCCUUUGUUGCCAGCGGUUAGGCCGGGAACUCAAAGGAGACUGCCAGUGAUAAACUGGAGGAAGGUGGGGAUGACGUCAAGUCAUCAUGGCCCUUACGACCAGGGCUACACACGUGCUACAAUGGCGCAUACAAAGAGAAGCGACCUCGCGAGAGCAAGCGGACCUCAUAAAGUGCGUCGUAGUCCGGAUUGGAGUCUGCAACUCGACUCCAUGAAGUCGGAAUCGCUAGUAAUCGUGGAUCAGAAUGCCACGGUGAAUACGUUCCCGGGCCUUGUACACACCGCCCGUCACACCAUGGGAGUGGGUUGCAAAAGAAGUAGGUAGCUUAACCUUCGGGAGGGCGCUUACCACUUUGUGAUUCAUGACUGGGGUGAAGUCGUAACAAGGUAACCGUAGGGGAACCUGCGGUUG